rnacentral:pre_miRNA from 1 species
AUCCAAACCUCCGUAGCCUGUAUCAAACGAUCCACUCCUACUCAGGUUCACAUC